UACGUAGGGUGCGAGCGUUAAUCGGAAUUAUUGGGCGUAAAGAGCUCGUAGGCGGUUUGUCGCGUCUGCUGUGAAAACUCGGGGCUUAACCCCGGGCCUGCAGUGGGUACGGGCAGACUAGAGUGCGGUAGGGGAGACUGGAAUUCCUGGUGUAGCGGUGAAAUGCGCAGAUAUCAGGAGGAACACCGGUGGUGUAGACGGCUUUCUGGACCGUAACUGACGCUGAGACACGAAAGCGUGGGUAGCAAACAGG
rnacentral:rRNA from 1 species